GAUGAAGAACGUAGCGAAAUGCGAUAAGUAUGUGAAUUGCAGAAUUCAGUGAAUCAUCGAAUCUUUGAACGCACAUUGCGCCCUUUGGUAUUCCGAAGGGCAUGCCUGUUCGAGCGUCAUUUCACCACUCAAGCCUGGCUUGGUAUUGGGCGCCGCGGUCGAUCCGCGCGCCUCAAAGUCUCCGGCUGAGCUGUCCGUCUCUAAGCGUUGUGAUUUCAUUAAUCGCUUCGGAGUGCGGGCGGCCGCGGCCGUUAAAUCUUUCACAAGAUUGACCUCGGAUCAGGUAGGGAUACCCGCUGAACUUAAGCAUAUCAAUAAGCGGAGGA
rnacentral:misc_RNA from 1 species